AAUUUUUUAGUGUAGAUGGUUAUCGUCUUUCUAACACACAGACGGUCACCGGUUUGAGUCCGGCAGAAAUCA